CAACAGGAGUCAACCCCCAUUUCCUUUCCGUCCCCCUCUACGCGCCGCGCCGCCAUGGAUCCCGCCGCCGACGACGGCCGCUCACCUUCACCCGUCCCGGACCCAGACGACGGCGAAGGCGGCAGCGGGUGGGGGAGCGACAAGCCGCCGCCCACGCGCGCGGAGGAGGGGCGCGUCGUCGGGAAGGCCGCCAUGGAACCCUCGCCGUCGCCGCCGGACUCCACCGUCUCCGACCAAGACGACGACGACCUGACGCGCGCCGUGUCCCUGCUGUCGCUCGCGGAGGCCGGGAAGGCCGGGUCCGCCCCCCGCGCCGUGGAUCCGUCGCCGCCGUCCUCCGCCGUCUCCUCCCACGGUCACAAAGAUGAUGAUGAUCUCGCCGGCGUGAACAAGCGGACGCACGCGAGGUUCCUCGUCACCCACGCCCAGGCCGGGCUCAUCAUCGGGAUGGGUGGCUCCACUGUCGCCGCUGUCGAGGCCCGCUCCGGCGCCCGGGUCAAGCUCUCCCGCCACGACCAGCUCCUCCCCGGCACCGACCGCAGGGUCGUGCUCGUCCAUGGCCUCCUCAGCCAGGUCAUGGACGCCAUGGAGCUACUGCUCCAAAGGCUCUUGCUCUACCAGGUUCAGGGUGACCAGGCGGUCGACUCUGAGCCCACGCUAGUGCUCGUCGUGCCUCAGCCCUGCUGCGGCGUGCUCAUCGGCAAAGGAGGAUCUGUUAUCAAGUCAUUCACUGAAGCUUCGGAAACUGCAAUUCAGAUCUCACCACACAACAUCUCCUAUGGCUUCAACGACAGGCUGGUCACCAUCACAGGGCCCUUGGAUAAUCUAUUGCGAGCAGUGUUUCUGAUAAUAUUUGAGCUGUUAGAGGACAUUCGUUAUUUGUUUCCAUGUGCAGCUGCUACGCCAAACAUUCCAAUGAGAUCACCUGUUAAUAAGGAUGCCCAAGAAUCUGUCACUAUUGCUGUUGCUGAUGAGCAUAUGGGUUCUGUUAUUGGUCGUGGUGGAAGGAUUGUCAAUGAGAUCAGCAAGCAUGCCUGGAAUUUUUUUUUUUUUGACCAACUUCUCUAGAGGUGUUGCAUCCUCCUAGAUGAGUUGUGUUAAGGAAAGCUGGUUUUGUUUGGGUUACUGUCGUCAUCUGGUCCUAUAUAUAUGCGGUGCUUAAGUAAAGCAAAGUCACUUGCAGCAAGAAGAGGGUAGUAGUAGUGUUCCUUACUCGUGAACAGUACUGUAUAUGGCACCAUGCAUGUGGGUUUUCUAUGUAAGCUUGCACCAAUAUAAUGGGAAGGUAUAUAUUAAAGAAACUGAAGAACUGGACUAGCGUGUGUCGAUCACGCGUACAAGGCAGGCAGAAGGUUCUCUAGUUUGUCAGUCAUAUGAUGGUUUGUUUGGGUUAUCAUGAGAUGUGAGGCCUGUUAAAAGUCGUUGGCAUUCAUUAGCCAAGCUCCUGUCCCCAACAGAGCAUGUGCACUAGGAAGGAAGGAACAUGUGUGCAUGGUGCAGUUAGUGGAGCAUGGAUUGACAUCUCAGGCAAGGGGGAGUUCAUGCCCGGGACUCGCGACAGGGAGGUGAUUAUGAGGGGAACAUCAGAGGCGAUCCGCGCAGCCGAGGCGAUGAUCAUGCACCGUGUCUCCGUGGCCAG